AUAACGGUCCUAAGGUAGCGAAAUUCCUUGUCGGGUAAGUUCCGACCCGCACGAAUGGCGUAACGAUGGCCACACUGUCUCCUCCUGAGACUCAGCGAAGUUGAAGUGGUUGUGAAGAUGCAAUCUACCCGCUGCUAGACGGAAAGACCCCGUGAACCUUUACUGUAGCUUUGCAUUGGACUUUGAAGUCACUUGUGUAGGAUAGGUGGGAGGCUUUGAAGCAGAGACGCUAGUCUCUGUGGAGCCGUCCUUGAAAUACCACCCUGGUGUCUUUGAGGUUCUAACCCAGACCCGUAAUCCGGGUCGGGGACCGUGCAUGGUAGGCAGUUUGACUGGGGCGGUCUCCUCCCAAAGAGUAACGGAGGAGUUCGAAGGUUACCUAGGUCCGGUCGGAAAUCGGACUGAUAGUGCAAUGGCAAAAGGUAGCUUAACUGCGAGACCGACAAGUCGAGCAGGUGCGAAAGCAGGACAUAGUGAUCCGGUGGUUCUGUAUGGAAGGGCCAUCGCUCAACGGAUAAAAGGUACUCCGGGGAUAACAGGCUGAUUCCGCCCAAGAGUUCAUAUCGACGGCGGAGUUUGGCACCUCGAUGUCGGCUCAUCACAUCCUGGGGCUGUAGUCGGUCCCAAGGGUAUGGCUGUUCGCCAUUUAAAGUGGUACGUGAGCUGGGUUUAAAACGUCGUGAGACAGUUUGGUCCCUAUCUGCAGUGGGCGUUGGAAGUUUGACGGGGGCUGCUCCUAGUACGAGAGGACCGGAGUGGACGAACCUCUGGUGUACCGGUUGUAACGCCAGUUGCAUAGCCGGGUAGCUAAGUUCGGAAGAGAUAAGCGCUGAAAGCAUCUAAGCGCGAAACUCGCCUGAAGAUGAGACUUCCCUUGUGGUUUAACCACACUAAAGAGUCGUUCGAGACCAGGACGUUGAUAGGUGGGGUGUGGAAGCGCGGUAACGCGUGAAGCUAACCCAUACUAAUUGCUCGUGAGGCUUGACUCU
rnacentral:rRNA from 1 species